rnacentral:rRNA from 1 species
GGGAGCUUGCUCCCGGAUGUUAGCGGCGGACGGGUGAGUAACACGUGGGUAACCUGCCUGUAAGACUGGGAUAACUCCGGGAAACCGGAGCUAAUACCGGAUAGUUCCUUGAACCGCAUGGUUCAAGGAUGAAAGACGGUUUCGGCUGUCACUUACAGAUGGACCCGCGGCGCAUUAGCUAGUUGGUGAGGUAACGGCUCACCAAGGCGACGAUGCGUAGCCGACCUGAGAGGGUGAUCGGCCACACUGGGACUGAGACACGGCCCAGACUCCUACGGGAGGCAGCAGUAGGGAAUCUUCCGCAAUGGACGAAAGUCUGACGGAGCAACGCCGCGUGAGUGAUGAAGGUUUUCGGAUCGUAAAGCUCUGUUGUUAGGGAAGAACAAGUGCAAGAGUAACUGCUUGCACCUUGACGGUACCUAACCAGAAAGCCACGGCUAACUACGUGCCAGCAGCCGCGGUAAUACGUAGGUGGCAAGCGUUGUCCGGAAUUAUUGGGCGUAAAGGGCUCGCAGGCGGUUUCUUAAGUCUGAUGUGAAAGCCCCCGGCUCAACCGGGGAGGGUCAUUGGAAACUGGGAAACUUGAGUGCAGAAGAGGAGAGUGGAAUUCCACGUGUAGCGGUGAAAUGCGUAGAGAUGUGGAGGAACACCAGUGGCGAAGGCGACUCUCUGGUCUGUAACUGACGCUGAGGAGCGAAAGCGUGGGGAGCGAACAGGAUUAGAUACCCUGGUAGUCCACGCCGUAAACGAUGAGUGCUAAGUGUUAGGGGGUUUCCGCCCCUUAGUGCUGCAGCUAACGCAUUAAG